UAUUUUAAAAUUCAAUAUGUACAUAUGCAUAAAAUCUAUGCCAAAAAAUACCAUUUACUCACAAGUGAAUAGAACUUUCACUCUAACUUAGUAUUAAUCUAGAUGUAUAAGACCAGUUUAUAGGAUGUUGUAGAUAAUAAGAUGGUAUUUGAUACCAUUGCUCAAUUACCAGUGCCAAACCUGUAUUUGAUACAUUUGCCC
rnacentral:lncRNA from 1 species